CUAUUAUAGCACUUAAAACAAUCCAUUGUUAAUGAAAUUAAAAAAGAAGAGUGUUUUUGGGCAAUUGUCAACUAAAGCCUAGUACUUUGUUUUCUAACUACGCAUUGUAAAUCGGAGUAUUAUAAAUAGUACCCAACAUUAUAACCACACACGGGCCUCACUCACCUAGUCAAGUGAAAAGAUUUGCGCUCAUAGCCAGUACUAACAACACAAUGUUGACAGUGAAUAUAGCGCCGUUGCCACCUGGGCAUUCCGUGUUGUCCAG
rnacentral:lncRNA from 1 species